rnacentral:rRNA from 1 species
CCUACGGGUGGCAGCAGUGGGGAAUAUUGCACAAUGGGGGAAACCCUGAUCCAGCGACGCCGCGUGAGUGAAGAAGUAUCUCGGUACGUAAAGCUCUAUCAGCCGGGAAGAAAAUGCCGGUACCUGACUAAGAAGCCCCGUCUAACUAGGUGCCAGCAGCCGCGGUAAUACGUAGGGGGCAAGCGUUAUCCGGAUUUACUGGGUGUAAAGGGAGCGUAGACGGCAGCACAAGUCUGGAGUGAAAUCCCGGGGGUUAACCCCGGAACUGCCUUGGAAACUGGGCGGCUGGAGUGCAGGAGGGGUAAGCGGAAUUCGUAGUGUAGCGGUGAAAUGCGUAGAUAUUAGGAGGAACACCAGUGGCGAAGGCGGCUUACUGGACUGUAACUGACGUUGAGGCUCGAAAGCGUGGGGAGCAAACAGGAUUAGAUACCCUAGUAGUC